AGAGUUUGAUCAUGGCUCAGAUUGAACGCUGGCGGCAGGCCUAACACAUGCAAGUCGAACGGUAACAGGAAGAAGCUUGCUUCUUUGCUGACGAGUGGCGGACGGGUGAGUAAUGUCUGGGAAACUGCCUGAUGGAGGGGGAUAACUACUGGAAACGGUAGCUAAUACCGCAUAACGUCGCAAGACCAAAGAGGGGGACCUUCGGGCCUCUUGCCAUCGGAUGUGCCCAGAUGGGAUUAGCUAGUAGGUGGGGUAACGGCUCACCUAGGCGACGAUCCCUAGCUGGUCUGAGAGGAUGACCAGCCACACUGGAACUGAGACACGGUCCAGACUCCUACGGGAGGCAGCAGUGGGGAAUAUUGCACAAUGGGCGCAAGCCUGAUGCAGCCAUGCCGCGUGUAUGAAGAAGGCCUUCGGGUUGUAAAGUACUUUCAGCGGGGAGGAAGGGAGUAAAGUUAAUACCUUUGCUCAUUGACGUUACCCGCAGAAGAAGCACCGGCUAACUCCGUGCCAGCAGCCGCGGUAAUACGGAGGGUGCAAGCGUUAAUCGGAAUUACUGGGCGUAAAGCGCACGCAGGCGGUUUGUUAAGUCAGAUGUGAAAUCCCCGGGCUCAACCUGGGAACUGCAUCUGAUACUGGCAAGCUUGAGUCUCGUAGAGGGGGGUAGAAUUCCAGGUGUAGCGGUGAAAUGCGUAGAGAUCUGGAGGAAUACCGGUGGCGAAGGCGGCCCCCUGGACGAAGACUGACGCUCAGGUGCGAAAGCGUGGGGAGCAAACAGGAUUAGAUACCCUGGUAGUCCACGCCGUAAACGAUGAUUACUAGGUGUGGGGGGACUGACCCCUUCCGUGCCGCAGUUAACACAAUAAGUAAUCCACCUGGGGAGUACGACCGCAAGGUUGAAACUCAAAGGAAUUGACGGGGGCCCGCACAAGCGGUGGAGCAUGUGGUUUAAUUCGAUGCAACGCGAAGAACCUUACCUGGUCUUGACAUCCACGGAAGUUUUCAGAGAUGAGAAUGUGCCUUCGGGAACCGUGAGACAGGUGCUGCAUGGCUGUCGUCAGCUCGUGUUGUGAAAUGUUGGGUUAAGUCCCGCAACGAGCGCAACCCUUAUCCUUUGUUGCCAGCGGUCCGGCCGGGAACUCAAAGGAGACUGCCAGUGAUAAACUGGAGGAAGGUGGGGAUGACGUCAAGUCAUCAUGGCCCUUACGACCAGGGCUACACACGUGCUACAAUGGCGCAUACAAAGAGAAGCGACCUCGCGAGAGCAAGCGGACCUCAUAAAGUGCGUCGUAGUCCGGAUUGGAGUCUGCAACUCGACUCCAUGAAGUCGGAAUCGCUAGUAAUCGUGGAUCAGAAUGCCACGGUGAAUACGUUCCCGGGCCUUGUACACACCGCCCGUCACACCAUGGGAGUGGGUUGCAAAAGAAGUAGGUAGCUUAACCUUCGGGAGGGCGCUUACCACUUUGUGAUUCAUGACUGGGGUGAAGUCGUAACAAGGUAACCGUAGGGGAACCUGCGGUUG
rnacentral:rRNA from 1 species